rnacentral:rRNA from 1 species
AUUGAACGCUGGCGGCAGGCUUAACACAUGCAAGUCGAUCGGUAACGCGGGGGCAACCCUGGCGACGAGAGGCGGACGGGUGAGGAACGCUUGGGAAUCUGCCCAUCAGCGGGGGACAACCCGGGGAAACUCGGGCUAAUACCGCAUACGCUCUACGGAGGAAAGCCGGGGACCGCAAGGCCUGGCACUGAUGGAUGAGCCCAAGUCGGAUUAGCUAGUUGGCGGGGUAACGGCCCACCAAGGCGACGAUCCGUAGCUGGUCUGAGAGGACGAUCAGCCACACUGGGACUGAGACACGGCCCAGACUCCUACGGGAGGCAGCAGUGGGGAAUAUUGGACAAUGGGGGCAACCCUGAUCCAGCGACGCCGCGUGGGUGAAGAAGGCCUGCGGGUUGUAAAGCCCUUUCGAUGGGGACGAAAGCUUCUGACCUAACACGUCGGGAGUCUGACUUAACCCAUAUAAGAAGCACCGGCUAACUCUGUGCCAGCAGCCGCCGUAAAAC